GAAAGUAACUCUGGAGCUUUCUUGAUACAAAGCAUAUGCUUCUGGUGCGCUCUUUCUCUCUUUUUUUUGCUGAAGUAGUAUAAUCUAUUAAGUCUAUGCUUCUCGUGCAUAUCACAAACGAUCGAAUUGUCCCACUUCAAUAACGAUAUGGUGAUUAUUUUGAGGAGGAACUGUCGAUUUAAAUGCUAACCCAUUAACCAAUUUUAGGACCUUUUAUGUUGCAGAUACAGAGACAAGUGAAAAGGCACGUGGGAAAUGCAGAGUUACUCGUAAUCCAAAAAAAAAGAACUUGCUAACUCAAAAGCGAGCUCCAAGAAGUGGAAGGAGUAGUUCAAGAAUCUGACAUUUCCGAGUUCUUUUACCUACAACCAAUAAUCAAAUAAACUUUUCGAC
rnacentral:lncRNA from 1 species